CCACCCCAUGAGUCUUAACUCAGAGUUGCAACAGGCUUGAACGAGCCCAGGCACGCCCAGAUACCUAGGGCCGAGUCACCGUGAAAACUAACAGACCAUAAAAGGAAAGGAAUGCAGAACAGACCAGGAGUACCACUCACAGGCCACCUGGCAGGAAGAGAUAAGCCCCCAGCCCCCGACAUCCAGGACGCCCCAAACCUGCCAAUGUGUGUAGCUAUACCUUAUUACCUCAUCAUGUGAAAUAGCCAAUCAUAUGUGAACAUGUCUAUGUGCCUCGUUUGAAUCCACCAAUCCCCGUAACUAUGCAUCUGCUUCUGUACGCCCGCUUCUGCUUCCCCAAUCCCUAUAAAAGCCCCAUGCUGGAGCUGCUGGGUGCGCAAGUCCUCCGAAGAGACUGUGUGCCCGCAGGUACCUGUGUUUUCCAAUAAACCCUCUUGCUGAUUGCAUCCGAGUGGACUCGGCUCGGUCAUUGGGCGCUUGGGACUCCUCCUGAGGGAAAGGUCCUCUCUGGGGGUCUUUCAUUAUGGGGGCUCGCCCGGGGUUUGGAGACCCUCCGCCCAGAGAUCACCGACCACCCACCGGGAGUAACUGUUACAGAUCUUCUUUACCACUGAGGAAAGACAGAAUCCUGCUAGAGGCCAGAAAGAAUGUUCCAGACAUGGAUGGAAGGCUCCUGACUGUUGACUUCAAUGCCCCUGAAGGUAGGGAGUGCUCCAGGUCUGCCCCCAGGCUCUGAGGGUGGGUCUCCUAGGGGCUGGAAAAUGCCCCACCAAUCUGGCUAAGAUAAGGAAAGGAUAUGAAGAGAAAGUUACAGAAACUUGAAGGGUAAAGCUAAGUCACUGAGAGAGUUAUUGUAAGUUGCAGAGAAAAUAAGUUGAUGCGUGGUUCAGGGUCUGUGCAGAAAAGUGGACAGCACCUAAUAGCUGUAGAAGAAGAUGCAGAGAGACUGAAAAAAAAAAGAAAGAAAGAAAGAAAGGAAGGAAGAAAGAGGAUAAAAAGAGCAGGAAGCUAGGGAAGAAAAGAGACAAAAAGAAGAGGAAAUUAGAGAGCUAAAGAGAGAUAAAAGACAAGAGAGGAACAUAUACUGGCCACAGUAGUUAGGGAACUUAGGAAGAUAGUACCUGGCAACAGAAGAGAAUUCCUGGCUAAAGAUCAGUGUGCCUAAUGCAAAGGAAAAAAAAAGACACUGGGUCAGGGACUGCCCCAGAAAGAACAAGAGGGGACACUGGAGAGCCUCUUGGUGCUGGCUAUGCACAGAGAUAGAAGGGAAGCCCGCCCAGUUGUUUUAUGGAUACAGGGACCCAAUGCUCUGUGCUCCUAUGCUCCAGUGGGCCAGUAUCCAAAGACCUUGGGUACAGGGGCCUACUGGCAACAAACAAUACUUAUGGACUGCCCGAAGAACAGUGGACCUUGGCGUGGGCCGGGUAACCCACUAGUUCAUAGUCAUCCCUGACUGCCCCCAUCCCUUGCUCAUGAGAAAAUUGCUCCCCAAAAUGGCUUGCGUGGGCUGAAAUGGCUGGGUGAGGCCAUGUGUAUGCAUAUCUACAGACUGUGUAUGGGGAGCUUAAGACCUGUCUCAGUGCACCAGUACCUGAUGCUGGGAGAUGAAUGGCUUAGCGCUGUUCUACUUGGAACACAUCACUCCUGCCAGCCGGGCACUAACAAUUAUCACCCAAUCCAGGACUUAAACUGUGAUAGAGUGGCUGAUGUUUUGCCUUUGAAUAGAGUGUCCCAAAAGAUGGGACCACUGGUCAGCUGCCAUGGACUAGGUUCUCCACCGGUUGGGGACAAUCUGGUCACCUUGCUGCUCAAUCCAGACCUGGAGUCACCACAGCACGAGUGUCAAGCACUGGCAGAAGCCCAUGGGUGGAGGAAAGACCUCUGCGACUGGCUGAUUGACCCCUGCUGAAAGCCGAGGCUACCUUGUCCACAGACGGGAACAGUUCUCUUCAUGAAGGUCAGAGAUAAGUGGGUGCUGCCAUGGUGGGCAACACAAUGUCAUCUGGGAUGGCUGAACCUCUACCCACCCAGUACAUCAGUGCCGCAGAUGCCUUUGCCAUCUCUUGGAUGCCCUGAUGAAGCCAACAACUGUGAGUACUAUUCAUUGCUCAGGAUAUCAGGAGGGAAGAGAUUCAGUGACAUGGGGCAAUAACGAAGCAGAUAAAGUGGCUCGGGAAAUGGCUAUGCAGGAGCCUAUCCUGGUUGCAGGCCUGCAAGAGACAGCCACUGAGAACUAGGAUCGGACUAAGGGAUGGCCUCACUUAAAAAAGGCCCAAAUUGCUUAAAAGAUAAAGGACAAUGGCACACUUGAGGGGAAAGCUAUACUCCCCAGAGAACAAAGAAAAGACUCACUUUGCCAAAUACAGAAAUGGACUCAUUUAGGAGAUAAAAAGUUUGUCCAAGUAGUUAAGUGUAUGUAAUAGACUUUAAGAUUUUAGCCAGAGAGGCAGUAGAAAGUAUAAGGUAUGUCAAUAAGUGAAUGCUUAGCAAGCAAACAGGGCAAAGAGACCUAGAGAGUUUGGUGAAAAGUCGAAGUGAACUUCACUGAGAUAAAACCAGAAAAAUAUAAUCACAAGUAUCUCCUAGUGCUUGUAGAUACUUUUUCAGGAAUAGAUAGAAGCUUUCCUCACCAAACGAGAGACGGCCUCUGCAAUCAUCAAGAAGAUACUGGAAGAAAUCUUCCUCUUGGAAUGCCCAAGGUAAUCUGGUCAGACAACGGCCCUACUUUCGUUGCCAAGGUAAGCCAGGGUGUGGCCAAGUAUUUAGAGGUCGAUUGGAAAUUACAUUGUAUUUACAGACCUCAAAGUUCAGGACAGGUAGGGUAAAUAAAUAGAACUCUAAAAGAGACCCUGACCAAAUUAACCAUGGAGACUGGCACAGACUGGGUGACACUCCUUCCCUCUUGCUCUCUUCAGAGCAAGAAAUACCCCUUCCAGAUUCAGCCUUACCCCCUUUGAGAUCUUAUAUGGGGCCUCAGCCCCACUGACUGUAUUAGAUGAUGUUACUGAACCAACAUGUCAUAGUGCCAUAGUAAUAAUGAUUUGUGUGCCAGGCUAAAAGACCUACAGGUGAUACAGAAAGAAAUCUGCUCAGAGCUGGCAGCAGCCUAUGCCCUGGGGACCCCUGAGACAUCUCACCAGUUCCAGGUCGGAGACUCGGCUACAUACGAUGGCACCGAACCCAGAUACUCACUGGAAAGGACCGUACCUGGUGCUGCUGACCACCCUGACAGCCAUCAACUCUCAGCCCUCACCAGCCGUGUACUAGCUGUUGGGGCUGAGAGCUGGGACCUAGAGGGAAAAUCAGAUCUUCAAAAAGCUCCCUAGACUUAAUUUCAUGUUUGCCCCGGGUUUUAUCAAGAUAGGUGUGGGGAUAGGCUUGAUUUCUAUUACAAAUGAUGUAACAUUGCAUAUGUUAGUACUCCUAACACUUCUUGGGACUGUGCCUCAGGGAUCACAAUCUGUACAAGUUUAGAAGUUCUAAAAGCUAGUCAUGACCUUGGUGUGCAGGUUUAGAUAGUGUCCAGAUUGGAAUCCUGAUGCUAAAGACUUAGUAAGAAAAAAAAAAAAAAAGAGUUGAGAAUUACUUAAGGCUAUCUAGGUGCUGCAAGGGCAGCACAAGGACAUCUGCCAUUGCCCUGCAAUGCAAGGUUUAUAGAGAAUUCAGAACUGCCAUUGACUCAGAUAUAAAAAGAGUGAAAGACUUUUUAGCUGACCUCCAAGAAUACCUAACCUCCCUCUCAGAGGUAGUCCUUCAGAAUAGGAGAAGAUUAGACCUGAUAUUCCUUAAAGAAGGAACCUGUGUGCUACACUGAAAGAAUGUUGUUUCUAUGCAGACCAUACAGGAUUAGUGAGAGAUAACAUGGCUAAGCUCCGAGAACGCUUGGCCCAGAGACAGAAGCUGUUUGAUUCCCAACAAGGCUGGUUCGAGGGGUGGUUUAACUGAUCCCCUUGGUUUGCUACCCUGGUGUCCACCUUGAUGGGACCCUUAAUCAUCCUCCUCCUAAUCUUCCUCUUUGGCCCCUGCAUUCUAAACAGAUUGAUGCAGUUCAUAAAGAACAGACUCUCAGUCAUUCAGACGCUUGUUCUCACCCAACAAUACCAGAGGGUAAGACAACAGGAAGAGAUUCCUUAGAAUUCGAUUUGAGUAAAGGAUUUUACUCAAGUCUAAAAGAAAAUGGGGGAAAAUGAAAGACCCACCCCAUGAGUCUUAACUCAGAGUUGCAACAGGCUUGAACGAGCCCAGGCACGCCCAGAUACCUAGGGCCGAGUCACCGUGAAAACUAACAGACCAUAAAAGGAAAGGAAUGCAGAACAGACCAGGAGUACCACUCACAGGCCACCUGGCAGGAAGAGAUAAGCCCCCAGCCCCCGACAUCCAGGACGCCCCAAACCUGCCAAUGUGUGUAGCUAUACCUUAUUACCUCAUCAUGUGAAAUAGCCAAUCAUAUGUGAACAUGUCUAUGUGCCUCGUUUGAAUCCACCAAUCCCCGUAACUAUGCAUCUGCUUCUGUACGCCCGCUUCUGCUUCCCCAAUCCCUAUAAAAGCCCCAUGCUGGAGCUGCUGGGUGCGCAAGUCCUCCGAAGAGACUGUGUGCCCGCAGGUACCUGUGUUUUCCAAUAAACCCUCUUGCUGAU